rnacentral:rRNA from 1 species
AUUGAACGCUGGCGGCGUGCUUAACACAUGCAAGUCGAUCGGUAACAGGUGUAGCAAUACAUGCUGACGAGAGGCGGACGGGUGAGUAAUGCUUGGGAAUCUGCCUAUUAGUGGGGGACAACCCGGGGAGACUCGGGCUAAUACCGCAUACGCUCUACGGAGGAAAGCCGGGGACCGCAAGGCCUGGCGCUAAUAGAUGAGCCCAAGUCGGAUUAGCUAGUUGGAGGGUAACGGCCUACCAAGGCGACAAUCCGUAGCUGGUCUGAGAGGACGACCAGCCACACCGGAACUGAGACACGGUCCGGACUCCUACGGGAGGCAGCAGUGGGGAAUAUUGGACAAUGGGGGCAACCCUGAUCCAGCGACGCCGCGUGGGUGAAGAAGGCCUG